CGCUUCCAUGGGUCGAGGUAAGCUCCUCGGUUGUGACGGGUGCGGGUGCGGCUGCGCGCGGCGGCCGAUGUGGUAGAGGAAGAGAGCGCGCGCGGCGGCCGCGGCUCGUCGGUGGCGAUGCGGCGAGUGCGGCCGGCUUGGGGGAGUCGAGGCGACGUUGGGAGGCGAGGGGAGUCGAGGCGGCCGGGGCGUCGGGGUGGUCACCCGAGGCGGCGGCGGCGGCGUUGCGGCCGGUGGAGAGGGCGAGGGUGAGAGGGAGGGGCAGGGGCCGAUGGGCCGCCUGCCCAGCUGGGCCGGCCCACUAGUGGCCAGUGUUUUAUUUUUCUUAUUUUUUAUUUUUCUUAUAUGAUGUAUAUGAUGUAUAAUUGUCGUAAAUAAUUAUUAAUUGUUCUAAAUAAAUGUAUAUGAUGUAUUAUUAAUUAUUAGUUGUCCUAAAUAAUUAUUAAUUGUCCUAAAUAAAUGUAUAUGAUUUUUUAUUUUUCUUAUAAUUAUUAAUUAUCCUAAAUAAUUAUUAAUUAUUGUAAAUAAUUGUCCUAAAUAAAAUAUUAAUUAUUUUAUAAUGCAAUUAUUUAUAACGCAAUUAUUUACAAUGCAAUUAUAUAUAUAAGUAUGUAUAAAAAUAAUAAACAAUUAAUAUUUACUUUUAGUUUAAGUGUCUAUGUAUAUACAUUAUGCAUAUGCUAAGUAGUUAU
rnacentral:lncRNA from 1 species